UACAGAGGAGCCAAGCGUUGUCCGGAUUGACUGGGCGUAAAGCGCACGCAGGCGGACGCGCGCGUGGGGUGUGAAAUCUGGCCGCUUAACGGCCAGGCGCCAUCCCAUACGGCGCGUCUGGAGUGAUGCAGAGGUCGGUGGAAUUGCCGGUGUAGUGGUGAAAUGCGUAGAGAUCGGCAGGAACACCCGUGGUGAAAACGGCCACCUAGCCCAUACCUGACGCUGAGGCGCGACAGCGUGGGGAGCGAACGGG
rnacentral:rRNA from 1 species